ensembl:miRNA
ACAGAGUGCGAUGUGUGCAUUGCAUUGCGACGGGUUACAUCACUGGUCGUAACAUGAUGUAACCCAACGCAGCAUGAUGUAAGCGUCGUGAUACAUUGG